AUUCCAGCUCCAAUAGCGUAUAUUAAAGUUGUUGCAGUUAAAAAGCUCGUAGUUGGAUCUCAGGUCCAGGCUCGAGGUCCACCUCGCGGUGGCUACUUCCUGUCCUGACCUACCAUCCGGUUUUCCCUUGGUGCUCUUGAUUGAGUGUCUCGGGUGGCCAGAACGUUUACUUUGAAAAAAUUAGAGUGUUCAAAGCAGGCGCUUCGCCUGAAUAAUGGUGCAUGGAAUAAUGGAACAGGACCUCGGUUCUAUUUUGUUGGUUUUCGGAAGUCGAGGUAAUGAUUAAGAGGGACAGACGGGGGCAUUCGUAUUACGGUGUUAGAGGUGAAAUUCUUGGAUCGCCGUAAGACGAACUACUGCGAAAGCAUUUGCCAAGAAUGUUUUCAUCA
rnacentral:rRNA from 1 species